GCCCCGAUAGCUCAGUCGGUAGAGCAUUCGGCUGUUAAUACCUAAUUAGUUAUUAGAGCAAACGUUGUUACCGAAAGGUCGGGAGAUCGAGACUCCCUUGGGGCG